CCCUCUUUUGUUUCAUAGCCAAUGGUUCCAACUUCCUAAAGAGACAUUAGGCCAAUUGAGAAUAACUUUAAAAACUGCACCAUUGGAAACUGCCAAAAAUACAAAAUAGUCCUCUUAUUUUUUCAUUUGGUGUAUGAAAACAUGGUAAAUAAUAUUUAAUUAUAAGAGUAAAAUAAGCAAGUGAAAAUACUAUAAAAGUAUAGAUGUCAUAGUUCUAAAUUUUAGGACAAACAUAGUCUAAACAUGACAACAACAAUGACAUUUUAGGAUAAAUAUAAUCUCAAUAUGAUAGAACAAAAUGAACAAUAAUGUAUAACACUAAUUAGAUUAUGUUUGCCUUGCAUUGCUACCUAUUUCUCCUUGAAUUGCGAUUUCAAUGUCACAAACUCUACUAUCUCUUGUGUACUUGACAACAAUGAUGCAGAUGAUAGUAAACAAUAUUGACAAUAAAUCAAACAUGACAACAAAUAUAAGAUAAAUGCAAAGAAAUCAUGCAACGUAAGUCCAAAUAAUGAAAAUGAGUCAUCCAUUUUGUUGACCAUAUUUUAUGUCUUAUGUAUUAGUUAAUAAGUAAUCUACCAGUUACAAUGUUUAUGGCUUAGAUGUUCAUGUUAUGGAUACUAAAACAAUAUUUGUUGUUACAGUAAAAUAAUUUCUAUUCAGUGCUGAACACUAGCAUUCAUUUCUUAUAAGAAGAGAUAAAGGACCACAGUAUGAAUACAAUAAAUACCAAUAACUAUAUAACAUAAUUACAUUUACUACUAACCUCUCUACUUAACACAAUCUUUUGUGUCUUCCUUAGUAUUUCACUUCUAUCUCUCGAAACCCUGCAUCAAAAUUCAUAACAACCUUAGCAUUUUGCCAAAUGAUCCAAACCAUACAUUCCUAUGCAUCUUAAAAGAACCACUCAUAUCUAUAAUAUUAUGUAAUAACAUUUUUUUCUUAAUUGGUUGAGCAUCCACGGAUACAACAUUGUCUUUUGCUUCAUUCAUAGGGUCACGAACCUCCUCAACUUGAUGCCAAUUUGCAUUAGUUGUUAACCCAAAUACAACUCAUGAAGAAUAUGAAAUUUCAUAUCAAAACAUUUGAUACACAUUGGUUAAAAUUGAUUUAUUACAUCACAAAGCACAAAGCAUCAACACCAAAUUAUAUCCUUACAAUAAAAGUAAAUCGUAACAAAACUUUUUCUACAAAGCAGUUAAAAAUACAGAGUUCCUUUCUCAUCAAAUAUCAUAAAAAAAUUCUAUGUACCAGCAGAUGACCCAUUAAAAUCAAAUUUUAUAUGCUCUAGUUGUAGAAUAAAUAACAUUAAGAGGUUUGAUUUAUUAUCAUAAAAAUUGUUGUUAACACUGAACGAUUGCAUAAUUUCUAAUUGGAGAAUGAGAAUAGAUGAUAUGUUGAAUGAGUUUGCAAUUGUAGAAUGAGGCACAACAACCUCAGAUAACUUGAUAAUCCAAACACUUCUAGUGAAGGAUCCACGAUGUUCCAUUCAAGACAACGAUGCACUUCUGGUGAAGGAUCCCUCUUUUCCAUCCCUCAUGAAUUCAAAGUUUUCCAAGAGAGAACCCAUUUGCAUUAUUAGGUUAUUGAGUUUUUUUCUUUUCUAUAAAGUUUCAUUCUUUCAUCACAAUUCACACACAAAUUGAGAGAAGGAGAUGAUUGUGGAUGAAGAAGGAGAGAAGGAAUAGGAAUGAGAGAACGUG
rnacentral:lncRNA from 1 species